AGAGAGGCAGAGGCAGAGGAAGAAGCUGGCCAGGCUCCUUGCUGGGAGCCUGAUGCUGGACUUGAUCCCAGAUCCCAGGAUCAACCAUCUGAGCCGAAGGCAGGUGCCCAACUGCUGAGCCACCCAGGCGUCCCAACCCCUCCUAAUAGUUAACUAUCACCACCACCCUUCACUGAUAUGUCCUCUUCUCUUGUUUCUUACCUCUGUUUUAUUCAUUGACAGCCAUUUACAUAACCUUAGUGGCUGGAUUGUAAAAUUGGAAAACAGUGGAACUUAACCUCGUGGGGUAUUGAUGAAGUCUAAAUGAGGAAACACACACAUUGCUUAAAAUGUGUGCCUGACACACAGUAAACCCCCAGUACGUUGUAGCUUAUUGUUAUCACUACAAUUUAUUUUUGUGUGUGUUUUUUGGUCUUACUUAAGAAAUAUUUACCCAAUUAAUAUUUUCUUCUCCUUCCAGGCACCUUAUUUAGGCCCCUUUUGAAGUUAGAUGUGACCUGUGGCUUCACUUGAUAUGUGAACUGGAGCAGAAGUGAUGAGAUGUAGGGGCACAGCCACCCACCUAGUAUGCUCCCUUUUCCUACUGCAGUUAUGUGGGAGCAUGUUCUGUGAUGGGGUCUUCAGCAUCCUGCUUCCCCAAGUGAUGAUGAGCUGAACCCCAUUGUGGCCUGAAUUAGAUUUUCCAGCAUGAUCCAACACAUCUUGGAUGAAUCUGGAGCACCACAGAGCCAGGAACAGUGGAGGGUCCCUGAUAGGCCGGGACUGAGUAUUCAUGGGUCCAGAUUCCACCCUGUUGAUGCAUUCUACAUCUGCUACCAAAGUCAUAUUCCAGAAGCAGAGCCCUUUGAGGCAAGAAGGAGGGUGUUAUGAAUGAAUGAUGCUUACAGUACCUGACGCUACCUGCAUAAUGAGUGCCGUUCUGGUCUCUAGAAUGAAUCCUGACCCCAGCAAAAGGUAUUUAAACAAUUUGGGCCCAAUACUCAUUGACCCAGCAAACAUCUAUCAAACACCCACGAUGUGACAGGUAAUGGUGGCAAAUAAGAGGAAUCUCUGUGGCAAAUAUCCACUUUACUAGGAUGAGAAUAUUUUAUAAGGUCAUGUUUGUGGUCAUCCAAACUCAAGGGUUUGCAUUUUAAAAGAUGGAGCCAGUUUCAUCUUAUACAUGGUGAUCUGAUCUUUAGAUAGUUUUCCCCUUCCAUGACAUAGAGGCAAUGUCCAGAAUUUAAAUCAUAAGUUAUGUCUUGUCUCAGAAUGUUUCAGGAAUGGGGAUGCCUGGGUGGCUCAGUGGUUGAGCAUCUGCCUUUGUAUCAGGUCGUGAUCCUGGGGUCCUGGGACUGAGUCCCACAUCAGGCUCCCCGCAGGGACCCUGCUUCUCCCUCUGCUUAUGUCUUUGCCUCUCUCUGUGUGUCUCUCAUGAAUAAAUAAAUAAAAUCUUAAAAAAAAGUAUCA
rnacentral:lncRNA from 1 species